GGUUGUGGCUCAGUGGUAGAGCACUUGCUUAGCAUGUGUGAAGCACUGGGUUUGAUUCUCAGCACCA
rnacentral:tRNA from 1 species